UCGAACGGCAGCACGGGAGCAAUCCUGGUGGCGAGUGGCGAACGGGUGAGUAAUACAUCGGAACGUGCCCAGUAGUGGGGGAUAGCCCGGCGAAAGCCGGAUUAAUACCGCAUACGACCUACGGGUGAAAGCGGGGGAUCGCAAGACCUCGCGCUAUUGGAGCGGCCGACGGCAGAUUAGCUUGUUGGUGGGGUAAAAGCCUACCAAGGCGACGAUCUGUAGCUGGUCUGAGAGGACGACCAGCCACACUGGGACUGAGACACGGCCCAGACUCCUACGGGAGGCAGCAGUGGGGAAUUUUGGACAAUGGGGGCAACCCUGAUCCAGCCAUGCCGCGUGCGGGAAGAAGGCCUUCGGGUUGUAAACCGCUUUUGUCAGGGAAGAAACGCGCCGAGAUAAUACCUUGGCGUAAUGACGGUACCUGAAGAAUAAGUACCGGCUAACUACGUGCCAGCAGCCGCGGUAAUACGUAGGGUGCAAGCGUUA
rnacentral:rRNA from 1 species